GAUGAAGAACGCAGCGAAAUGCGAUACGUAAUGUGAAUUGCAGAUUUCAGUGAAUCAUCGAAUCUUUGAACGCACAUUGCGCCCGCCAGUAUUCUGGCGGGCAUGCCUGUUCGAGCGUCAUUACAACCCUCAGGCCCCCGGGCCUGGCGUUGGGGAUCGGCGGAGCCCCCCGUGGGCACACGCCGUCCCCCAAAUGCAGUGGCGGUCCCGCCGCAGCUUCCAUCGCGUAGUAGCUAACACCUCGCGACUGGAGAGCGGCGCGGCCACGCCGUAAAACACCCAACUCUUCUGAAGUUGACCUCGAAUCAGGUAGGAAUACCCGCUGAACUUAAGCAUAUCAAUAAGCGGAGGA
rnacentral:misc_RNA from 1 species